rnacentral:rRNA from 1 species
UACGUAGGGUGCAAGCGUUAAUCGGAAUCACUGGGCGUAAAGCGCACGUAGGCGGCUUUUUAAGUCAGGGGUGAAAUCCUGGAGCUCAACUCCAGAACUGCCUUUGAUACUGAGAGCUUGAGUCGGGAGAGGUGAGUGGAACUGCGAGUGUAGAGGUGAAAUUCGUAGAUAUUCGCAAGAACACCAGUGGCGAAGGCGGCUCACUGGCCCGAUACUGACGCUGAGGCACGAAAGCGUGGGGAGCAAACAGGG